rnacentral:lncRNA from 1 species
AUGACGCGCGGAGGAGGCAGCGGGAGCCGCCGGAGCCGCAGCAGCCGGGAUCAGGGCGCCGCGCGCGGGGGGUGGGCGCCUCUUGCUCCGCCCCACGAAGCCCCUGCGCGCCCAGGGACGCGUCCCCCCCGCGGCAGCCGCGCCAGGCUCCGCCGUGUGGCCGCCGCCGCCGCCGCCGCCGCUGCCAUGUCCCCGGGGAAGCCCGGGGCGGGCGGAGCGGGGACUAGGCGGACGGGCUGGAGGAGGAGGAGGAGGAGGCGGCGGCUGGAGGCGGCGACGAGGGCGCCCGGGCUCGGGCGCACGGCGGGGCCCGACUCGCGCGUCCCGGGCACGUUCCAGGGCGCGCGGGGCAUGAAGCGGGCGGCGCGGGAGGCGCGGCCGCCUCCGCGCUCGCCGGGGCUGCGCUGGGCGCUGCCGCCGCUGCUGCUGCUGUUGCGCCUGGGCCAGGUGAGCGGCCGGGUGGGCCCGGGCGGGGUGUGUGUGUGUGUGGGGGGUGGGGGGUGGAGGGUGGGGGGAGAGCACGGAGGGUGGGGGCGGGACUGGCAUCCCUUGCACCUGCCCGGGUGUGCCCUGCCUGCGGGGUCCGCGGGAGGUGGCGAGGGGCCCGAGAGCUCGGAGCCCCCCUCCUGGAGGGGGUUCGCCGGAACCCAGCCGGCCUCGCGCGCCGGCGACCGAGCCCCUGCCCCGGCUGCCUGGUCCCGGCGGGGGCGCGGCGGGACCCGGGGUCCGGGGUGCCCGUGGCCUCCCGUGGAAGCCCCCGCGCGGGUUCCAGGCCGUCUCUGGCUCGGCCCUUCCCGGAGCUGGUCACAUCUGGCCGGCGCGGGCCCGGCUCGCCCGCCCGCGGCGGCCGGAGGGGGCGUGUUUGCGAAGGGCUCGCGUCGCGGAGCGGGGCCGGCCUGGCCGAGCGCGGCCGACCUCCGACCCGGCCCGCAGGGGCCCGAGGGGCCGGGCCGGAGGGCAGCGGCGGCGGCCCCGGGGGAGCCCGGGCAGGGCCGGGCUUGGGGCCGCGGGGCGGUGGGCGAGGCGCGGGGGCCUCGCGGCCGAGGGCAGCGCUUCUGGGGAAAGUCUCCAGCCCCGGCAGAGGUGGCCACUCGCAAGCGUUCGUCAAGGCGACGGUCCCCCUUCCCGGGGAAGCCGCUGGCUUCCCUGGGCGUUGAAGUCGUGCUUUGUGGGCGCAGGCUCUCCCUCCCCACCGCCCUGUUUUCUAGCUUCGCUUUUCAGAUAAUGCUGUGCCUGGCAUUUUGGCGGCCGACCUUUCUGAAAGCGCCGUUUCCCCUUCAGAGUAUUCCCACUGGGGGCGAGGCAGGGCAGCUGGGAGACAUUCCCAUGUCACAGAUAGGGAACUUAAGGGGGGGGGGAGAAGUGAAAGAGCAGAAUCACCCAGCCCUGGCGCGGGAGCUGAGCUAG